rnacentral:rRNA from 1 species
UACGGGGGGGGCAAGCGUUGUUCGGAAUUACUGGGCGUAAAGGGCUCGUAGGCGGCCAACUAAGUCAGACGUGAAAUCCCUCGGCUUAACCGGGGAACUGCGUCUGAUACUGGAUGGCUUGAGGUUGGGAGAGGGAUGCGGAAUUCCAGGUGUAGCGGUGAAAUGCGUAGAUAUCAGGAGGAACACCCAUGGCGAAGGCAGUAAACUGGUCGACAUCUGACGCUGAGGCGCGAAAGUGUGGGUAGCAAACAGG